CGCGGGUGCACGCUGGCCAGUGGACGUGCCCAUUUCCAGCUAGAGGAAGAGUCGCUCCUCGCCAGCCCCCCACCGACCCCGCCCGAAACGAGUGUAGGAGCCUCUCCUCGGGGAACUGAUCGACCAGUUUGCUUAUCAGAGCAAUUGCUUCCCUCUGUUAACAUGGAUAAUUAAGAACUGACUGUGUAGUUCUUGAUAAGGCAGAGAAUAAGAAACAAGGCCGUUUGGAAAAUGUGAACAGGAAAUAGUUAAACACAAGCACAGAAUGCUGUUACAAUGAGGAAGAGCCUUGCCUCAUGCCUCGGCCCCAUGUACCAAGCGUGGACAACCAGCAGAAUUUUCCGCUGUUUCCUGAAAUAAGCCCAAGAACACUCUGACUCCCAGCAUCUCCCAGCACUUACAGGGGCCUAUUCAGAUGAGGAGCCCUAAAGCUGACCCGAAGCUUCAUGAGCUGCUUCACCUUUAUGGUAAAAAGGUGAGCACCUUUUUAGGAGCACCUAUCUUAGUUUGGAGUUGUUAAAUCAUUAACAUGUCUAUUUUAUUAAUAUCUUCCUCCCCUAGUAGACUGUGUUCUGUGAGAUCAGGGACCAUGUCUAACUUUGCCAAUCAUGAAAUCUUUAGUGUUUAGUGUGGUGCCCGAGAUGGAAUAGGUGCUCGAUAAAUAUUUCUUUGCCUAGCACAGUGCCUGACAGGGUUCAGUGUUGGGCUGAAUGGAACAGAUAGAAGCCCUACCCUUCCCUCACUUUCUGUAGGCAGAAUGCCAACC